AGGGUUUGAUCAUGGCUCAGGAUGAACGCUGGCGGCGUGCCUAAUACAUGCAAGUCGAACGCAUAUCUUCGGAUAUGAGUGGCGAACGGGUGAGUAAUACAUAAGUAACCUGCCCUUUCGAGGGGGAUAACUAUUAGAAAUGAUAGCUAAGACCGCAUAGGUAUAUGAAUCGCAUGAAGCAUAUAUUAAAUAUCCUACGGGAUAGCGAAAGGAUGGACUUAUGGCGCAUUAGCUAGUUGGUAAGGUAAUGGCUUACCAAGGCGACGAUGCGUAGCCGACCUGAGAGGGUGGACGGCCACACUGGGACUGAGACACGGCCCAG
rnacentral:rRNA from 1 species